rnacentral:rRNA from 1 species
GACGAACGCUGGCGGCGUGCUUAACACAUGCAAGUCGAACGGAAAGGCCCUGCUUUUGUGGGGUGCUCGAGUGGCGAACGGGUGAGUAACACGUGAGUAACCUGCCCUUGACUUUGGGAUAACUUCAGGAAACUGGGGCUAAUACCGGAUAGGAGCUCCUGCUGCAUGGUGGGGGUUGGAAAGUUUCGGCGGUUGGGGAUGGACUCGCGGCUUAUCAGCUUGUUGGUGGGGUAGUGGCUUACCAAGGCUUUGACGGGUAGCCGGCCUGAGAGGGUGACCGGCCACAUUGGGACUGAGAUGCGGCCCAGACUCCUACGGGAGGCAGCAGUGGGGAAUAUUGCACAAUGGGCGGAAGCCGGAUGCAGCAACGCCGCGUGCGGGAUGACGGCCUUCGGGUUGUAAACCGCUUUCGCCUGUGACGAAGCGUGAGUGACGGUAAUGGGUAAAGAAGCACCGGCUAACUACGG